CUUGAAGGGGAACUCGGCUGACUAAUUGUUCCCGCAGUGCCAUCACUUCCGGUGGCUCCUUAGGCUGGGAAAGUUUGGGCGGAAGUGUGAGUUUGUUGUCUGCCGCCCCUGACCCUUCAUUCCUGCAGGAUUUUGGCUAGCUGCUUCUGAAGGGACAGGCACUCCCAUGGGGGGCAAGAGCUGUGGUGAUUUUUUUUUCUUUUCUUUUUUUUUUUUGAGGGCCUUAUGUAAGGUAGGCUGACCUCAAACUCAGUUGUAGAGCUGAGGAUGACCCAAGUGCUGACAUAGAGGUGUGCGCCACCAUACCCGGUUACUGUCACAUUUUGUGUUUAUCAGCCUUUUGUGUGUACUGCCUGGAGGUAUGUUCAUUCAAGUACUUUGCUCAUGUCAAAACUGAUACCUCUUUUACAUAAAAGUAAGGUCAGAAUUGGCAUUUUCAUGAGCACAUAUUGCCUAGAAAGGAAUGUUGAGAAUAAUAGACCCAGGCAAGGUGAGGCCAGAGGAGGCUGAAGAGGGGGUCCUAGGGGAGACCCAAGGAUCAGUGAGAUGACAAAGAUUUGAAGGGGUACUGGACCAUUUGAGAGUUCCGAGUAGUAAAGUGGGAACUUCAGGAUCAGCAGUGUGGAGACCCCAGGAUCAUCUGUGUGGAGACCCCAGGAUCAUCUGUGUGGAGGCCCCAGGAUCAUCUGUGUGGAGACCCCAGGAUCAGCUGUGUGGAGACCCCAGGAUCAUCUGUGUGGAGACCCCAGGAUCAGCUGUGUGGAGACCCCAGGAUCAGCAGUGUGGAGACCCCAGGAUCAGCAGUGUGGAGACCCCAGGACCAGCUGUGUGAAGACCCCAGGAUCAGCUGUGUGAAGACCCCAGGAUCAGCAGUGUGGAGACCCCAGGAUCAACAGUGUGGAGACCCCAGGACCAGCUGUGUGAAGACCCCAGGAUCAGCAGUGUGGAGACCCCAGGAUCAGCUGUGUGAAGACCCCAGGAUCAGUUGUGUGGAGACCCCAGGAUCAGCAGUGUGGAGACCCCAAGAUUAGCAGUGUGGAGACCCCAAGAUUGGUAGUGUGGAGACCCCAGAAUCAAAAGUGUGGAGACCUCAGGAUCAGCUGUGUGAAGACCCCAGGAUCAGUUGUGUGGAGACCCCAGGAUCAGCAGUGUGGAGACCCCAGAAUCAGAAGUGUGAAGACCCCAAGAUUAGAAGUGUGGCGACCCCAGGAUCAGCUGUGUGGAGACCCCAGGAUCAGCAGUGUGGAGACCUCAGAAGACCUCAGGAUAGUCAGUGUGAAACCAGGGCUGAGAAACUACAAGCACAUCCAUGCUAAAGAAUGUGACAGACUGGAAAGGGGCUAGAAUAAGAGAUAGGAUGCUGUGAGUAUGUGUUGAUUUAAAAACAUAUAUAUAUA
rnacentral:lncRNA from 1 species